rnacentral:rRNA from 1 species
CUGGCGGCGUGCCUAAUCAUGCAUUUCGAGCGAACUGAAUUAGAAGCUUGCUUCUAUUCACGUUAGCGGCGGACGGGUGAGUAACACGUGGGCAACCUGCCUGUAAGACUGGGAUAACUUCGGGAAACCGAAGCUAAUACCGGAUAGGAUCUUCUCCUUCAUGGGAGAUGAUUGAAAGAUGGUUUCGGCUAUCACUUACAGAUGGGCCCGCGGUGCAUUAGCUAGUUGGUGAGGUAACGGCUCACCAAGGCAACGAUGCAUAGCCGACCUGAGAGGGUGAUCGGCCACACUGGGACUGAGACACGGCCCAGACUCCUACGGGAGGCAGCAGUAGGGAAUCUUCCGCAAUGGACGAAAGUCUGACGGAGCAACGCCGCGUGAGUGAUGAAGGCUUUCGGGUCGUAAAACUCUGUUGUUAGGGAAGAACAAGUACGAGAGUAACUGCUCGUACCUUGACGGUACCUAACCAGAAAGCCACGGCUAACUACGUGCCAGCAGCCGCGGUAAUACGUAGGUGGCAAGCGUUAUCCGGAAUUAUUGGGCGUAAAGCGCGCGCAGGCGGUUUCUUAAGUCUGAUGUGAAAGCCCACGGCUCAACCGUGGAGGGUCAUUGGAAAACUGGGGAACUUGAGUGCAGAAGAAAAAAGCGGAAUUCCACGUGUAGCGGUGAAAAUGCGUAAAGAUGUGGAAGAACACCAGUGGCGAAGGCGGCUUUUUUGGUCUGUAACUGAC